rnacentral:lncRNA from 1 species
AUGGAUAUACUGUGUAAAAGUGUUAUAAGAUCUCUCUUAUUUAGAAUUUCAGAAUGUUAAGUCUAAUUUAUGAUGAUAUGAACUUGUGGUGAAUAGUUGGUGUUCUGAUUGUAUAAUUUAUUUAGCUUUGUGGAUUUAUAAAUGUUGUUUAUGUUUGUCAAGUUGGCUUGGGUUGCCAUAAAUGUGAAUUAUCGAGUGAUGUGAUAUAUGAUUAUAAACUGCACAGGUAUUAUAGAUGUGAAUUUGAUAUAAUGUUUUUCAGUGUCCUCAAAUGUUAGUUUGGAUCAUGGAUUGGCUUGUGUUGAAAAUUUUAAUAUCAUGGUUAUUAUUUGAGGGGGCG